GACGAACGCUGGCGGCGUGCUUAACACAUGCAAGUCGAACGGAAAGGCCCUGCUUUUGUGGGGUGCUCGAGUGGCGAACGGGUGAGUAACACGUGAGUAACCUGCCCUUGACUUUGGGAUAACUUCAGGAAACUGGGGCUAAUACCGGAUAUGAGCUCCUGCUGCAUGGUGGGGGUUGGAAAGUUUCGGCGGUUGGGGAUGGACUCGCGGCUUAUCAGCUUGUUGGUGGGGUAGUGGCUUACCAAGGCUUUGACGGGUAGCCGGCCUGAGAGGGUGACCGGCCACAUUGGGACUGAGAGACGGCCCAGACUCCUACGGGAGGCAGCAGUGGGGAAUAUUGCACAAUGGGCGGAAGCCUGAUGCAGCAACGCCGCGUGCGGGAUGACGGCCUUCGGGUUGUAAACCGCUUUCGCCUGUGACGAAGAGGGAGUGACGGUAAUGGGUAAAGAAGCACCGGCUAACUACGUG
rnacentral:rRNA from 1 species